ACACCGGCGGGUUCUUCGACGUCAAGGACUCCGGCGGCGAAUGCGGCGUGCCGGCCGAGACCAUGUACUACUACCCCGCCGAAAACAGGGCAAACUUCUGGUAAGCGGCGUACGUAGAAACCACAUCAUUUCAUGCAAAAUUCAUACGUAUAUGAAAGUUAAUACGAAGCGACGAAGAAAUAAUGUCUGCCAUGCAUGGACGACGUACGGAUGUCAAGGUACAAGGUGGACUACGGGAUGUUCCGGUUCUGCGUGGGGGACUCGGAGCACGACUGGAGGGAGGGCACCCCGCAGUACAAGUUCAUCGAGGAGUGCCUGUCGACGGUGGACCGGAAGCACCAGCCGUGGCUCAUCUUCACGGCGCACCGGGUGCUGGGCUACUCCUCCAACUCGUGGUACGCCGACCAGGGCUCCUUCGAGGAGCCCGAGGGACGGGAGAGCCUGCAGAAGCUGUGGCAGCGCUACCGCGUCGACAUCGCCUACUUCGGCCACGUCCACAACUACGAGCGCACAUGCCCGCUCUACCAGAGCCAGUGCGUCAACGCCGACAAGAC
rnacentral:lncRNA from 1 species